GCUGGCAGUUAGCUCUCUGCAACUCUACAUAGUCGCUGAAGCUAAGCAGGGCUGCGCCCAGUCAGUACCUGAAUGGGAGACCGCAUGGGAAAUCUAGGUUGCUGCAGGAA
rnacentral:rRNA from 1 species